rnacentral:misc_RNA from 1 species
UGGGCUAAAUCUGUGGUGAUGGUCCCGGAAACGGGAUGUCCCUUCGGGGCACCAUGGAAGGUGCUGCAUGGCUGUCGUCAGCUCGUGCCGUGAGGUGUUGCCUUAAGUGGCGCAACGAGCGCAACCCCUGUGGUUAGUUACCAGCACGUCAUGGUGGGGACUCUAGCCAGACUGCCUACGCAAGUAGUGAGGAAGGUGGGGAUGACGUUAGCCUAUCGAGA